GGCUGAACAAUCCGGACAUCGUGGCCACCGACGUGGACCCCCGCCACCGGGACCCACGCAAUCGCGCCCUUUAGACACGCCCCUUGGAAAUUGAACAACGCACUUCAACGCAGAGGAUCCAGAAGGAUUUCACAACGAGUCCAUUGGAAGAUAUCGAGGAACAUGAACAUCACCAAUGAAGGAGAGUAACGUUUCCACUUGCUAUAGGAAUUUAGUGAAGCAAUAAAUAGUUAAUAAUAAUAAUGAUAAAAUGUGGUCACCAUUUAUUGACUUUUUGGGUAAGACUUGCUUUACUAAUAUAACCGCGUUAAAACCGCAUUCAUUUACUUUUCUUGUGUAGUUUCCCACUAUUCAUUAAAUGUUUUAUAGAAGUAAAAAAAGUAAUCAAUAGAACUAUACACAUUUGUACAACAAUUAAUCAUUAUACAGGAUUUGAACAUUUUCUAUUCUAACUCAUUCUUCAUAAUAUUUCCAAGGAUUGCAGAGUACCAAAUGAUUUAUGAACAGUUGUUUUUGUUCAGGAGCGGAUUGUACUCCCAGAGGCUUCAACAGAGCGGGUCUGGAGCUGGGAGCUGCAGGUGGAUGUUGGCCAGGAGCCGUUCAGUCCUACAGGAACAGACGGUAGAGGUGAUGGAGGCGGUCGUCUGGAGGUGCUCGUCUGGAGGUCCGUGGCGGUCGUCUGGAGGUGCUCGCCGUGAGGUCCAUGGCGGUCGUCUGGAGGCGCUCGCUGCAGGUGGAGGGAAGGCCGGGAGCCGUGCAGCCCAACGGAUGCAGAACGAAUGACUGAGGCGGAGGUCCUGGAGGCAGAGGCCAGCCUGGAGGCGGCGGUGGCCUGGAGGUCCUGGAGGCGUCCAACCUGGAAGGGGCAGCAUGGAGGGCCAGGUGGCGGCUCCUCAUCCAGUAAAGUUAAACUCC